UAAGUUAGUGAGUUAGUUAGUCCCCCCCUCCCUCCUCACCUCCGCCGCACCACCACCUCAGCCACCAACAGACCAGAGGCGGGCGGAGUGAUAUUGUUGGUGUUUACGGUUUGAUUUGUUGCACGCGUUAUCUCAUACUGGCGAAACGGUACCCUGCCUGUUAGCUGCUGUAAAAAAAAAAGCCUUUCGGUGCUCCUGCCCUCAAGACUGUGAGCUGGAUUCUGAUUGGAGGAAUGGAGUGCCAGUCUGUCCUGCACAAGUGAUCGGGCGAGGAGACUCCAGUGGUGACGUCCUGUGAGGCCACAGAUCAAAGU